rnacentral:lncRNA from 1 species
UUAUACCUUCCUCCUAGUGAUUAAUUUGUUCUCAUGUUCUGGACUUUAAGGCCAGAUUUGAGAGGCAGCAUCAUUGGCUACUGUCCCCAAAACUUGUUCUGUCUCUAUUCCUCCUUCUUGUCCUCAUGAAAACCCUGUCCUCCCUAACAGAAAGUCAUUCAAUGCUAGUGCUUGGGGAAAACAUGGCCAGACUGGGAGGAGCAUGAGAGCUCUGUGGGAAACCCUGAAGGAAUUACAAUAGGGACAGAAUGGAAGGGGUGAGGAAGGGUUAGGGAACUCAAAAUUGGGUGCCACACAGCUACGUGGCCAGUCUGGCAGUUGCAACUAUCCUUUUCCUAGAUCUCAAAGAGGGCAUCCUAGAUUAACAUAAGGUGGACAUAAUACGUUAACUAGUUGCCAUGUCAUCUGUGCAGUGCUUGUAGCUCCGAAGGUGCUUGUGAUAAGAUAAAUCUGUCUGGAAGACUGCCAGCAAACAGCCAUUGCUAGAGAACAUUGGAAAUAGAAAGUGAACCCUACAGCCCAGCCGGCCAUGGAUAAGCUGUGUUUCUUUCCUGUGAUCCCAGCACUGGAUGAGAUGAUGCUAUGACACUUAAGUGGAUUGCAUUUGCUGAUAUUCGUCUCUUGAACCAUCCUUGCAUCUCUGGGACAGUCUACUGGAUCAUGAGAGAUAAUCUUUUUGAUGUAUUCUUGGCUUCAGUUUGCAAGUAUUUUAUUGAGUAUUUUUUACACCUAUGUUCAUUAUAGAAAUUGGUCCAUAGAGAGGACAGGGUUUUCAUGAGGACAAGAAGCAGGAAUGGAGACAGAACAAAUUUGGGGGCCAGUGGCCAGUGAUGCUAUCUCUCAAAUCUGUCCUUAAGGUCCAGAUCAUAAGCCCAAGUUGCU